rnacentral:rRNA from 1 species
CAGAGGGGGCAAGCGUUGUUCGGAAUUACUGGGCGUAAAGGGCGCGUAGGCGGCCCGCUAAGUCGAACGUGAAAUCCCCGAGCUCAACUCGGGAACUGCGUCCGAUACUGGCGGGCUUGAAUCCGGGAGAGGGAUGCGGAAUUCCAGGUGUAGCGGUGAAAUGCGUAGAUAUCUGGAGGAACACCGGUGGCGAAGGCGGCAUCCUGGACCGGCAUUGACGCUGAGGCGCGAAAGCUAGGGGAGCAAACGGGAUUAGAUACCCCGGUAGUCCUAGCCCUAAACGAUGAAUGCUUGGUGUGGCGGGUAUCGAUCCCUGCCGUGCCGAAGCUAACGCAUUAAGCAUUCCGCUGGGGAUACGGUCGCAAGGCUG